GAUGAACGCUGGCGGCGUGCCUAAUACAUGCAAGUCGAGCGAACAGACGAGGAGCUUGCUCCUCUGACGUUAGCGGCGGACGGGUGAGUAACACGUGGAUAACCUACCUAUAAGACUGGGAUAACUUCGGGAAACCGGAGCUAAUACCGGAUAAUAUAUUGAACCGCAUGGUUCAAUAGUGAAAGACGGUUUUGCUGUCACUUAUAGAUGGAUCCGCGCCGCAUUAGCUAGUUGGUAAGGUAACGGCUUACCAAGGCAACGAUGCGUAGCCGACCUGAGAGGGUGAUCGGCCACACUGGAACUGAGACACGGUCCAGACUCCUACGGGAGGCAGCAGUAGGGAAUCUUCCGCGAUGGGCGAAAGCCUCACGGAGCAACGCCGCGUGAGUGAUGAAGGUCUUCGGAUCGUAAAACGCUGUUAUUAGGGAAGAACAAAUGUGUAAGUAACUAUGCACGUCUUGACGGUACCUAAUCAGAAAGCCACGGCUAACUACGU
rnacentral:rRNA from 1 species